rfam:Chlorocebus sabaeus isolate 1994-021 chromosome X, whole genome shotgun sequence.
GCAGUACCCUACUCAAAAACGUGUUGGUCACUUAGAUUACAUGUUUCCAGCUCCUUUCUGGGUAGAGCAAGAUU